UCAAGAAAUAAUUCCACUACGAUGCUGGUCGUACGGUGUUGACUAGUUAGAGAGAAUAUAGACUAUGGGGUUUUGUAAAUAAUGUAAAGUAAAAGACAAAUAAAUAGGAAUGGUUUUAGCUCAAGACUAGCUCUUGAUUGAUCACUAGAUAAAAGUAGAUUUAACCACAAUGGCUAGCCAAAGAGAAUUACGUUUCUACAGGUUUUCUAUUUUAAUGUGCAACUGUUUAUUGACGUUUGGAUCAUUCUAUGCGUUUGAUAUGCCUAGUGCUAUACAAACGGAACUACAAGACAAGGAGGGUUGUUGGAAUACUACAAUAGAAAGCAGUAUUAAUUCUACAAGUACCACAAAUCAUACCACAUGUUGUCCAGAUUGUUUAGGACUUGGACCGUUUCAUUAUAAUUUACUCUUCGCGAUAUAUGC